UGGUUUAGGAUAAUAUUAUUCCUUUUAGUUUUCUUUGGGAGUCAAUGAUAGGAAUUAUGCAGAUACAGGGAGACUGAAGAAAGAUGGGCCUAGACCUGGGAUGCUGAAGGUAUACACUAGCAGAAGUUUUAGUAGCCAGAGGAACAUUCUAGAUGGACAGGGUAGCAAUCAGUUGGAGGGAAUUUCGGGAAGCAUGUGAUGAGGGCAGCAAAAGCUAUAUAAGAACAAAGUGAGAAGGAAGGAGGGCAUUCAGGUAUUAGUUAAUAUUUUGGGUCCAGCUAGUAAUCGCUUGGGGAGUAGGAAUCUCAUUCUGCUUGGUGGGAACUUUCUACUGUAUUUUCCUUUUUCCUUACUUCUACUGUAUUGCAUCUUGAACUCAGUACAAUUUAAUUGUUCUCUGUCAAUCUUGCUUGAGUUUGGAUACCUUACUUAUCUGUCAUAUCAUUGGGGAUUAGGAUUUAGGAGUUGGGACUAGUUUGGCAGUAAAGUAUCUUGAAGGAUUACAAUUAAUUUGAGUAUAUGAAUAUCAAUGCUUGUAACACUUAUGAUUCAUUUUUCGGUCAAUAAAAUCUCCUGCAAUUGUUGCACUUAGAUUGAUAAUGAAACCCAAUUAUAGAUGUGAUGCCUAAGAAUAUAAGUGUCAACCCAUUUACCUUUAUUUGCAGUUCAUGGAUACCGUUCGCAGUGCCUCAACUACACUGCAAACAACCCCUAUAACCUGUUUUCCUUCAAAUAUUUUGCUGCAUAGCUACUCUUGGUUACAAAGUGUGGUUGUUUACCUACUUUUCUACUCAAUCUAAUAAAUCCAACAACAAGCCGAAUAACAAGCUUGCAAGUUGUCCUACGUCAUUAUGCCCCAUGCACAUUACCCUGAUUAACAUAUAAAAGACCGAAACCUGACUAUUAAUAUUUUGAAAAACAAUACCUUUCGCCAUAUAUGAAAUAGAACAAGGUAAGCAAGGUCAGGAUCACCGCUUUCAGUUGCCUUUGUCAAAGCCAUAUCUCCUUCCCCAAUGCUUAACAAAAGAGGAAUCUGUUUGGAGGAGUGUGAUUCAUAUUCAAUGAGCAUGGCAGCCAACUUCCGUCGGCCACUCCUAUCAGCAUGGGCAGCAACUGCUGCAUAAGAUAUGCCCUUGCAUAUUUUCAGCUUAUCAAGCAAGAUUUCAAGAAGAGUUGCAUCAGGAAUGGCUAACGAAGCCGUUAUCUUUGAACAAGCCCAAUGCAUUAUUACCACCUCUUGAUGCAUCCCAAGGUACUCUGAUAGCCGCAGUGCAAGAAGGUGUUGAUGAGCAUUAAUCAAACGACCAAUCAGAACAGGUGCUGUAAGUGACUUAUAUUGCUGAAUACUUAAAGGUACACCAAUCACAAAGUCACGCACAGCAUUUAAGACCCGCAAAGUUUUGCACAUCUCCUGAAUACAGUCACGUUGAAAAUUGCUUCCAAAGCCAAAAAAGGCUUGGCCAUAGCUUGCAGCUCUUAAUAGUGUCCGUUGACGGGAAACAUCAAAUUCAUGACCUGCAGCAUCAACACAUGCUUCAACAGCCUCUGGCAAGGACGUGCGAAUCAAUCUCAAAUUUUCAUCUGCCAUGGCACUACGCCUGUCAAAAUGAUCUAGCGCAUCAACUAGUAAUGAUGCAGGUGAUGUGCUGCCUAUCUUAAAGAUAGAUUCAGUGGAAUCAGGUACCCGUUGUAGAAAAUCCAUAGUGGUGUUAGAUAAAAUCCUCACUCCAUCACACUCAGGUAUAAGAAUCACAGGUUCAUCUAUAUAGGAUAUGCAAAAUUCAGAAGGACCCACCACCAAAAGCAUAUCAUCUCGAUAAAGCAGAACACUAUCCAAUCCACACCAAGCCAUCUGCUCCGGAGGAAGGGCUGACUCACAUUGAUACUCAAAGAUGGUAUCAAAUUGUAUAUUUGACAUCACAAGAUAACCAUCAUGCGUAAAUCGCGCCAAAAUCCUCCCAUUAUGUGAAACUGCAAGUUUCUGCACUGGCCCCCGCAAAUCGUCGCUUUCCACCUGCCUCACAUCAUCAUCGUCCACAGUCACAAUCCCAUCUCCUACUCCCAACAGCACCACAACGUUCCCCGACACUGUAUACUGCGGUUCAAUCACAGCCAUGCAAUGUGGUAGCUCCUCCUCCAUCCUAAUUAUGGGAUCCGCCAGCUUAUACGGUUUUAUAUCCUUAAAAUCUGCCACACAAAACAACUUUCCAGCCUCCGUCAAACACACCACACCGUUCCCCCAAAACACGCAGUCCACAACAUUCUGCUCAAAGCACUCUUUCCCCAUAGAAUAAUUGGGUUCGAGACACUCAGCAUUAAUAUUGUACCGAUAAAUCGUACCGUCUUGGACUAUGCAGAUUAGGGUUUGAUCGUCGGUCCAUGACAUACCGAUUAGGCGGCCGCCGGGGUGCUUCCAGAUGGUUUCGGAGAUGAGGACGCCGGCGGAGUUGAAGAUACGGAGUUUGCGCAGGGCAGAUUCGGAGUAUAGCUGGACGAUCUUGGAGUCGUCGCGGAUGAUGGCAAUCGGGCCGCCGAAUGGGGCGCAGGCCACC
rnacentral:misc_RNA from 1 species